rnacentral:misc_RNA from 1 species
UUUCCGUAGGUGAACCUGCGGAAGGAUCAUUAUUGUAUAACCGAGGUGCGAGGGCUGUCGCUGACCCGAAAGGUCGUGCACGCCCGAGUGCCCUAACACACAUCCAUCUCACCCCUAUGUGCACCACCGCGUGGGUCCCCCUUUGGCUUGUUCGGAGGGGGGCUUACGUUUUCACACAAACUUUGUAUGCAGUGUAGAAUGUAUUUUUUGUUUUUGCGAUCACGCAAUCAAUACAACUUUCAACAACGGAUCUCUUGGCUCUC